rnacentral:lncRNA from 1 species
AAAUCAGAAAUGAAUAAUUUAUAUAUAUAUAUAUAUAUUUGUAAAUAUCUCUGUCCAAACCCGUCAACACCCACUGACCGACACACUUGCAAAACCACUUUCUAUCGUUUCUCUUAUUCCUCCUUUUUUUUCUUAAAUUCCCAAAAAGCCCCCACUUGCACAGAGAGUCUCUCCUCUCUUCGAUCCCUCUUCUACUCUCUUCGAUCCCUCUUCUAUUUUGUUUAGGAAAAUACUUGGUGAAGAGAAGCACGAGAGAAAUACGAGAGAAAUAAAGAAAAAAAGGAUAGAGAAAAAGUGAGUAGGUAGAGAGAGAUGAUAAAAUUCUCUCGUCUUUCUCUCGUGCUUCUCUACACCUAGCACUGCUGAGGUACCUUUGAUCUCUUUCUUCUGUUUCUUUUUUCUUUAAUAAUUAUUAUUUGUUUAUUAUUGUCAUUAUUAUUGAUCUUUCUAUUGUUGGUAGUUACAGAUCUGACUAGAGAGAGUGGAGAUCACUUUUAAAAAAUUCUUAUUGGUUGCUGAGAAGACCUUCAAACCUCAUACACUUCUAUCUUUAUUAUUAUUUUAAAAUUAAAUAGGGUAUAGGUUAUACCUCUGAUGAUAGUUAUUCAAUCUUCAAGUGAUUUCAAAUUUCCAAGUGUUCUCUAGGCGCUCAAAUUGACAUAAAGUGACUUCUAUCUUAUUCUAUUUUGUAGCCUUUCUCCUGAUUAAAAAAUAAGGUCUUAGUACAAGUUUGCAUUGUCUAAGCUAAGGGGAUUAGGAUUCUUUUCUAAUUAGAGCUAAGUUAAAUUCUUAAAGAUAUGGUACUAUCUAUCUUUUAGUAUUAGCUAAUGAUUAAUAUUUAAUCACUCUUAUUUUUAAUUUAUUAAUCCCCAAUUACUUGAGUGAAUUUUACUCUGGAAAAAAUUAAAUUAUGAGAGAAUCUUAAUUCUAACUAGAAACUCUAUUAUAUUAG